GAGCCUUACUCAUGCAUCCUGCCUCUUCUCUCGGACCUCUGUGACCCCUACCCAUGCCGCCUUCUGACUUGAUUAGAUUUUGCUUGGGUUCUAACGCUAACGAUCCUUGAACUUAACGGGAAUCCUGAAUUCUUUUUACAUUUUUCCCCAUCUCUUCGGGCCACAAACCUUCUAGCCUUUCAAAUGAAAUCAGGUUGAAUGGUGGCAUCUCUCAUAGCUUUGUCUGACCACACCGUCAACUGCUAACAUGAUUCUCCUGACGUCGCAGAAACAACCGCAUCCUAAAGUGUCAACUCAUUGCCCCAGAGGAGCAUUUAUUCUGACAGCCGAGCCUUUUCACCCCACCCCCACAAUCUCAGUUCUCAACUUUGACUCACUUUAACUUUGUACGUCACAAAUUUCUUCUUCCAAGGACUCGAGGAAGCAAAGCUGAAAGCAAAUGAAUGGGGCAGCCAUGAAUUUUGUGCAGAUGGAGAGAAGAGAGGGUGGGGAGGUGGGGGCUGGCUGGAGAAGCUUGCUGUGGACAGGGGAUUAUCUCUCAUCAGCAGAUGCGUCCAUUUCAACCCCCACCUCCACCCCCCGUAAAGACUGUGCCAGACUGAAAGCCAAAGGCCCCCAGUGUGAUCCCAACAACAGAGGUGUAUGUGGGUAUGUUUGUGUUAUGAACCCUCCCUCAAAACUUUGGGCCAUGUUUCAUCUUUACAGGCACAACUAUUCAUUCAGAGCCAGCCCGUCUGGCUGUGUGUUUUUCUUGGUUGGAAUUAUUAACCCCACUUCCUGUUGUCUGGAGACAUGCGGGUUGUGGAGAAGCAUCUUGAGUGGAUGGAUGGCAAAGAAGACAAAUGAACCACUGUUGCCACGUGAGUUAGAAUUAAUGCUCUCGUCUUUGAGUUUAUUACAGUGAAUGGCUAUGGGGUCUUAAACUGAGAUAUAAAUAUUUGAAGCAUGGAGCAUUAUUUGGCCAAGACUUGGAGAAAUACAUUAAUGAAAAGAGAGCAUACGAUAACUUGUGCUUAUUCUUCAGGGUUUUAAGUGAGUUGCACUUCUGGCUUUUUGGAUUGAAUAGGUAGUUUGAACCAAUAAUCCCAAUGAAAACAACUAUAAACUGGAUCAAAUGUCUUUUAAUAAUGUUAAAAGGAAUGGGAGCCCUAACAAGGUGGUGAAAUGGUAUGGAUGAAGAUCCAGAAGACGAUGGAAGUCUGGAGAGGUCUGGUCAGCAUUGAGUGCUGCCCUGUCUGCUGCUUCAGGAAGAGGAGGAAAUGGAGCUCCCAGUCCUUUACAGGAUUUUUUCCUGGGAAGCUGACGUGCUUUAAAAAAUACUCAAUCAUCACUAUCAGCUUUACGGAUAUUUUGUGUUAUAUGCUGAUAUUACAGCUUUUCCCAAAAUUCAAUAGGAGCUUUGAUCUACGCUCACGUUUGUGGUAGACACACUCGAGAAGUGGCCCCCAUGACUUCCUUCCCCAGUCCUGGAGUUCACACCCUCGAGUGUGGGAAGACCUGGGACUUCUUCUAACCAACCGACCACCACACAGACGGCCAGAUGUGCAAGGUUACAACCACAUAAGACUUUAGCAUCAGUUUGGCUGGAGUCUGGCUCUCUCUGCCUUGCUGGCUUUGAGGACGCAAGUGAUCCUCUUGGAUAACCCCAUGUGGCAGGAACUGGAGGGUGCCUCUGGGGCAGAAGGGGGGCCCGGCUAACAGCCAGUGAGAAACUGAAGUCUUCAGUCAAAUGCUUGCAAGAAACUGAAUUCUUCCCACAACCGGGGUAGGCUUGGAAAUGAUCCUCCUGCAGGCAAACCUCAGAUGAGAACACAGCCUGUCCGACACCCAGAUUCCUGCCUGGCUGAGACUCUAAACAGAGGAUCCGUCUAAGCUGUCCCUGGACUCUAUUUCUUAUUGACACAUGAAAAAGCUCAUGGGAGACUGUGUUUCUAAAAUUGGAACAGAAUAACCAUACCAAGUACUGUGGAACAAGGGCAACGCUCACACACCGCUUGGGGAGACGCAAAAGGGUACAGCCCCUCUGGGAAACAGGGCUACCGUUUCUUAAAGGUUAAACAUGAAAGCAACAAUGAGAUACCCCUCUACUCUUAUUAAAAUGGCCCAAAUCUGAGACAAUGCCAGCAUCACAGCUGGCGAGGGUGUGGAGCAACAGGAACUCUCGUUCGCUGGUGGUGGGAAUGAAAAAUGUGCAGCUACUUUGGAAGACAGUUUUUGGUGUUUUUUACAAACUUAACAUAAUCUUAACAUAGGAUCCGGCACCCACGGUAUUUACCUUGGUAUUUACCCAAAUGAGCUGAAAACGUGUCCACACAAAAACCUGCACACAAAUGUUUAGAGCAGCUUUAUUCAUAAUUGCUCAAACUUGGGAGCAACCAACGCAUCCUCCAGUAGGUGAAUGAAUAAAUAAACUCUGGUACAUCGAAACAGUGGAAUAUUAUUCAAUGCUGAAAAGAAAUGCGCUAUCAAGCUAGGAAAAAACGCAGCGGAAUCUUAAAUGCAUAUCACUAAGUGACAGAAGCCAGUAUGAAAAGUCUGCAUGUCUGUCCCACAACCCAGAUGCCCCUCAGCGGGUGAGUAGACACACUGGGGUCUGUCCGCACCAAGGAACACCUCCCAGCAAUAAACAGGAGCAGCUGCUGGGGUGUGCCGCAGCCUGGAUGGGCAGAAAAAGCUUAGGGAAAGAAGCCAGGUUGGAAAAGCUUCUGGCUGUAUGAUUUGCUUUAUAUGAUGUUCUCAAAUAGACAAAAUUAUACGAUGGGGAGCAUGUCGGGGGCUGCCGGGGACUGGCGAUGGAAAGGUGUGACCCUGAAGGGGCGGCAGGAGGGGGCUUCUGGAAUGAGAGCAUCCUGCAUCCUGCUUGGGGUGGGGGUGAGGGGUCACAGGAACCUGGACGCAUGUUUAAAUUCGUAGAAGGGCCCACCUCCCCCAAGUUCAAUGCUACUGUAUAAUUUGAAAAUAAAAACACAUUUCAUGCCUAGAUUGCACUGUAAAAAAAGAAACCCCAAAAGUUACACAUACAGGUACCCUAGGACCCAGCUACUCCAUUCCUAGGUGUUUACCAAGGGAAGUGAGAGUCUGCGUCCACGCAGAGCCGUGUGGACAAGUCCUCACAGAGGCUGCGUUUGGAGUAGCCUCAAAGUGGAAGAGCCCCAACCUCCUUCAGCAGCUGAAGGUAAAAAAACUGGGUGCAUCCAUGCAGCGGAGCGCUUCUCAGUGAUAAAGAGAAACCAGCUGUCAACACAGGAGACCACGUGGACAG